CCACGUCCUUGAGGAUUAAUGGCAAGAACAGCCUUUGUGAAGCACAUGGUUUAAACAACUUCUUCCAUUCCUUCGCACUCUCCGAUGGAAAUGUUAUUGGAUACAAUGUGUAAUUAACUUUUCCUUCAUAUGGGAAGUCAUCAAGUAUGUCUUUGAAGCUCUCAUGCAAUUGAUCCUCAGCAAAAAUAUGAAAAUGGAGAGGUUUGAUGCUGAAAAUAAUGGCUGAUCUCAACAUAGUAAUGGUCUCCUCCAGUCUUUCACCACAGGCAACCACUGCGAGAUGCAUUGUCUCAGAAGGCUGUGUUUUCAUAUAAGUGUACCUGCCGGCCCCCUCCUCGCCUCCAUCCGCGCUCCCCGCCUGCCGCCCGCCGCCGGGUGCGGCCGACUCUCGGGCCUGCCGCUGCCGGGCGCCGCCGGCCUCCUGCUCCAGGGAGAGCGCGAGCUGGCUGACGCCGUAGAGCAGCGAGCAGACGCCGCAGCCCAGGAACAGCAGCGCCACUCGCGCGAACCGCCGCAUCCUCCAACGCCUCGGGCUCGGCCCCGGCAGCGGCGCCGGGCGGCAGCCGGGGCCCAACCGGCAGCGCGAACCCCUAUCGACGCGGC
rnacentral:lncRNA from 1 species